rnacentral:lncRNA from 1 species
ACGGAACCGUGCAGUAUAAGCACGGACGACUACUGUCCAAGCAGACCAUCCAGAACCACCUGGGCGAGGAACUCCUGCAGGACUUGAUCAAUUUCUGCCUCCACUACAUGGCCCUGCUCAGGCUGCCCAAGAAGCGGUGAGACCCCCGCCCCGCCCUGUGUCCCACCCCUCCUGGGCCUGGGCGGGGAAGGGUGGGACUCAGAGGGGCCCUGAUUGCCGGUGGGUGAAUUCCUGUCUCCUGGAUUCCAAGUCAGGCCCGUCUCCUCCCUCCGGCUCCCUGCCCUACCCCCUCCCCGCCCCCACCAGGGGAACCUUCAUCGAGUUCCGGAACGGCAUGCUGAACAUCUCGCCCAUCGGCCGCAGCUGCACCCUGGAGGAGCGCAUCGAGUUCUCCGAGCUGGACAAGGUGCCACCCGCUGUGCAGAGCUUGGGCGAUAGGCCCUCAGUCACGCAACCCUCUAAGCCUUUACUUUCUCAUCCGUGGAGAGGAUGGGGGCGGGGAAUGCGGGUUCUGAUUCGACCGGUGCCCUGAUGCACGCCUGCCCUGCGCUGUGGUGCCAGGCACUUCUGCGUCUUCCCCGCACCACUGGUUCCUUCCCUUGGUGACGAGCAUCACCAGCCACCUACCAACCUAAGCCAAGACCUUGGGCAACAUUUCCUCCUGCCAGCCCAUCAGGUCCAACAGUGAUUCCUGGCGUUUCAGCCUCCAGAGUUGGUCUUAGAUCCCUUCGUGUGUGUGUGUGUGUGUGUGUCCCCGACAUGAAUGAAACCCUGCCAGUCUGUGCUCCAGCAGUGCCACGGAGAACCUUCUGAAGCACAUCUCUCUGGCCCUGUCCCCUCCCGGCUUACAAUCCUUCCAUGGGGCCACUUACCAACUGGACAAGGUCCCGGUCCCCUCCCGUGGGUCCCUGAGCCCUGAGGGGUCUGCCUGGCCCAAGCCCACCUCUUGAGCUUUCUCCCAUGCAUCUCUUGGUCCCUGGGACACACCAAGGUCCCUGUCACCUUUGUGCUGCCCCCACUAAACCUUGACUUGCCUUUUUUUUU